ACAGAGAUGAAACUCUAAGCAGGAAGCGAAAUAGUAUCAAGCUAUUGGAUGGAGACACGCUUGUGUCAUGUGAGAGGACAUGACAGAAACAGCUUUUCUUAAAUUAUUUGUGGCAAUCGUGGUCACAUUCAUUUUAGUCUUGCCAGAAUUUUUCAAGACACCGAAAGAAAGAACACGAGAGCUCGCCUGCCGGGAAGUGUGUUUAUUACCCAAUCUCACCUACCCGCUUCCCUCCUUCAAUUUUUCUUCUGUGACUUUUCUGCACCCGGCAGAGGAAACACAGACUGUCAUGGGACUCUUCCCAAAUCACUCCAGUGUCCAAAGCUUCACUGAGAGUUGCCAAGGCAUCACGAAUGGAUUUCCGAUGUGCUCCUUGUGUUUGGUCUGCGAAUCCAAAGGAGACGUGGAUUUCAUUUCUCAGGAACAAAUAUCAAAAGGUCUCAUCACGACAGGAUCAAUGGAAGUGAAGGCAAGCGACUUUUACUCACCCUGCCAGCACUAUAAUGUCACCGUCGCUCUUCUCGUUGACCCUAUGAAGGAAUACAACGCUACCUGUACCCCUGAAGCCCACCCUGGGAAACCCACAGGUGUAGAAGAUCCACCCAGGGGAGAUUCUCUAAACCACACUUGUGGAAUUAUGGAAAACACGAGUAAUUGUACUCAUGUUUCCUUGCGCCUAGCAGUAGAUGUGAAAUCUGUCACUUGUUCCGUGAAGAUCACUUGGUACAUUUUAGUGCUAUUAGUUUUUAUGGUCGGCAUCAUCCUCAUUAUCCACAAAAUCCUCGAGGACCACAGGAGAGUGCAGAGGUGGAAGAGUCGUAAACCCAAAUCUGCAUCCGUUCUCUUAAGAGGAAGUGACUCUGCGAAGCUGAGCGUCUUGAAUAGGACGGCUAUUCCAGUGGGUGAGCAGCCGCUUGCACUAGUUGAGAAGCUUGCACAAAAAGAAGCUUCAUAUCUGGUGUGUAAACUCUUUUCAAACAUGAGAGGAAGCUGGAUAACUUCCUGCUUCCACUGCAGGACAAUGGCAGCCACCUAGAGACCCACCCAGCAUUUCACCGAGACCCUGUGCCCAUGGCUUCUGUUAACUACUGAAACAGGCAGUCAGAUAGACCCUUAGCCUGGGAACAAAUAUGCCUGGAUGCAUCCCAAGAUCUCAAUCAACAUAAUCUGGCAACGGAAAAUUAUUAAGCCAGGGUUAGUAGUAAGCAACAGCUAGACAAUUCUUAACAUCAGCUGUUUAGGAGUCAAGUUAAUGGACAUUUUGUGUGGUUCACAAAGAUUUUGUUUAAUUAAUGACAUAAAAGCCCCCAGAGUUGUUUUAGGGUGAGAAAUCAUCUUUUAAAGGAAGAAAAUGGCGAUUCUGCUCUUCGUCUCUCUUGUCUAGUGUACCUGCCUGUACCCCAGGAAUGGUUCAGCCCACCUCUGCUGAGUUUUGUGAUUGCCCGAGGAAGCCUGGCUGUUUCCUAGCCAUAAUUCUGAGCACAGCCGUCUUGUCUGAGAACAAGUCAAUUGUUCCCCUGUCACCUCAGAUAAUUGCGGGAGUCACAAAUUUUAAGGCCUGGAUAGCCACGAGAUGAACCUCACAAGUUUUAUUUAUGAGCCUGAGGUUUUCCUGGCCCCGAAGAAGCUGUCUUGGGGCUGCCUUCUCUGUAAUGGCUCUCACUAAAAAACCCUCUGGUUUUAGUACCAGACAUAUUGUAGGAAUGUUCAGGGCAGACCCGGGGGGAGGGGGUGAGGUUCUUUUUUUAAGGCCAAGAAUCCUUUUGAGGCUUAGCAUCUUCUAAAGGAAAAGGGGGAGGCCCUUUCAUUUAUCGUCCUUUACCCUGAAUGCACCCCCUUCUUCAUUCUAAGUCGCUCUUUCCAGUGAGAAGUGGAGAGGAAAUCAUGUCUCCCCUGAGCUGUCUUUAGGGCUGCUCUUUGUCAUGAUGGAUUACAGGCAGCAGCGAGAGGUAAGGGAAAAUGUGCCCAUGUGAGUCUCCGGAAAUGCGGUACCGUGAAGAAAAGAAGCGGAAUUCAAAAAAGCAAUGCCUGUGUGUCGCAUUCAACUGAGCCUGGUGUCAGUGCCAGCCACUCGCUCCAGAAUGGCCCUGUGGUUCAUGACCUACAAAGGCAGUGUUGCCACACAGGUACACACACUGGGAUGUGGAGAGGCUCGUCCAUCCCCAAAUCACCGUCCUCUAAGAAACAAGCAAGGAGGGCUCAGCAGGACCCUUCCUGCUCAGAGCCUGCCACUAUUAGAGCCACAUGGAACAAGUGUGCCUCUGAUGCUCUUCCCCUUCCCCCAGAAACGUGAUGGUUUGUGUUGUCUGUCUUGGUGUUAAUUUCCUUAACAUCUUAUCCAUCUGUCACAUGGGUGACGACUUCGCUUUACCUGUCCUGUAUCCUUCACUGUAGCAUAGCCUUUGGGAUCCCAUUCUUUCAUGAUAAGAGUUUAUGAAACAGCACAACCCUAGGGAGAAGUGGGUAUAGAAAAGGGGAGGUGAUGUCAUGGCACACACCUUUAAUCUCAGCACACGGGAGGGAGGCAGAGACAGGAUGAUGUCUGUGAGUUCGAGGCCAGCCUGGUCUAUGCAAUGAGUUCCUGGACAACCAGAGCUGCACACUGAGACCCUGUCUCAAAAAAAUAUCAGAAAUGAAUUUAAAAGUUAGAGAAGAAAUGAGUCUUAAGGAUGGGAAAGGUGAACACGAACAUGAACACGGACACACUGAGCAGGAAUAAUCAGAAAGAACAUAAUUCUCCUUCAUUGGAAACAUGGACAGUGAAUUUUGUAGAAUUGCUAAGGAUAUUAAAGAGCAAUGAGAAACAAUGACCAUUUUAAGAAAGGCAUUUUAAAAGGGAUUUUAUUUUUUAUGUGUGGGUUUGUAUACACACACACACACACACACACAUGCGUGUACCUUUGCCCACAGAGUCCAGACGAGGGUGUUGGAUCACCAAGAGCUAGAGAGAGAGGUUGUAGGGUGAUAGCCUGAUUCAUAGCACCCCCAAAUAAAGCUAAUGGCAAUGGAAAGUUAUAAUUCCCAGCAUGUUCAUGGCCAGGAUAAUAAAGACUGCGCAGGUUUCAAUUUCCCGCAGAAGAGAAGAUGAAUGGCUGGUGCCAGAUGUUUUGCAACUAAGCAAGAUAACAUGAAAGUUUAAUUUUUACUUGCUUUACCCAUAAUAUUGAUGACUCUUAAAAUGCCAGUUGGGUUCAUAACACAGAGAAGGUUAUAGCUAUCUGCUUGGUUACAGACUAGAUCAAAAAGCAAAGGAUGGCUUUCUUUGCUGGAAGAAUCCAUAGCUGGAAUAGAAUGAUUUAUUAUAGGUGUUCAUUGAAUGCCUUUAUGUGACAGUCAUUUAUACCAGCUCUGGAAGAACAGACUGCAGAACAUAUGCUUUGAACAAGUCCUCCAUCUUUGCCCAGAUGGUCCUUGCCUGGACCCUCUGUCCUCCCUUGAUGCCCACCAUGUACAACCCCAUUCCAACCCUGACUUUGCCUUAUGAUCUGGGCUUAACCGACGCGUUCCAAGACAAAUAAAUAAUCAUAAAAAUAAGUAAGUCAGUUAUCAAAACAUUUUCAAGAAGGAGGACCUGAAAUCAAGAACAGCUGGGACCUGUAGAAUAAGCUGAUUGUAGGGACAGAGACAGGCUGAUCCCUCGGGCUCACUGGUCAGGCUACUUGGGUGAGCCCCAGGCCAGUGAGAGACCCCAUUUCGAAAUAAAACAUCAACAUGAGGUGCACAGGACCUGAGGAGGAAUGACGUGUCUGACCUCAAAAUGCACACACACGUUUACUUGUGCACACACAUCAGCACCCACCCUCACACUCCUUUCACAUAUACAAAAAAUAAAACAUAACUGAACAAGUAGUUUGGAGGCAAGCACAUGAAAAAUUUGAUGGGAAAAACAGGCUUCCCAACCAAGAGAAGGAAUACAGUAUUACGUGGGAAGGAUGAAAUGAGGCUAGAUCCCAGAUGUCCCAGAUGUAAAAGACCUCUGAAAAGUGAUAGAAACCUUUUUUUUUUUUUUUUUUUUGAGGGGAGAGGGUAAGCAUUGCAUUGCAGGGCAGCCUGGACGUCGUCACAGGACGUGUGAUAAGGCCUUUCUUCUACUGUGGAAAUCCAUUGUUUCUGAGACUCAGUCAGGCUGAAAACCACACUGGGGUUCUUUGAAAAAACGUUAAAGACCUUUGGAGGUUCCCGAAAAGCAUCAAGUGUUUGAGUGAGAGAACUGACAAAUUCUUGAAAAGACAUUUAUGACGUUUAAAUAUAUUUCUGACAGCUUGUGCUGCCUUAACUAGAGUUGGUGAAUUAAUAGGGUUCUAAGGAAACUAUUUUCCAGGGCAGUGUGAGAGGAAAAAUCUCACCUGUCUUAGCUAUUCUUAGGAAGGAAUUAAAAUGACACACCUCUAUCUACCUUUGGAUGUUUUUGUUAAAAUCAGUUUUUAGAAGUUUUUCUAUUAGCAUAUGAGUUAUGAGUUGCAUGACUUGGGAUACGAGGGGACGCCAAUGGUAACGGAUCACUAGAGGGAGGAUAUUCCCGACUAGGCAUCAUUUUGACAGGUAAUAGCUUUCCUUCUGACAGUGUGGUCAUAUCGUGCUAUAACACAUCCACACUCUGAAUCCACAAGCAGACAGUGUGCAGCUGGCUCUCCAGCCAGAAGAACCUCAUUAAUUCUGCAUGAUAAUUAUUUCAUUUUAUGAAUAGGCUCCUUUGAUAUGACCUUUAAAAAGAGCAGUCUCCAAAUCUCAGGUUACAGAAGGCCAAAAACAUCUUGUCGGGGCACAUCUAAGCAACUGUUUGCACAGAAAAUUUAUUCCAAAAGCUUUCAUGCACACCCAAGUCACUUUUGGAAGUCUAGAACAUUCAUACUCCCAGGCUUCUAGGAAGGGACAUUCAAAUCCAAUAGAUCUGGGGACAGAGCCCAAGAACCUGCAUUUUUAAUCAUCGCCUCUGGUGACAUUUAGGCCGAGACUGGGUCGAUCACUAUGUUCGUUUCCACAGUGUAAUCAAUUACCGCAAACUUUGUUGCUUAACGCGACAUAAUGCGUUGUGUUAUUUCUGCUUCUGCGGGUUGGGAGCUGGUCACUCCUUAUCUGAGCGUGACUCAGCUUAGAGACUUCCAAAACUGCAACCAAGAGGUCAGCCAUGCUGCAGUCUCACCCAGAGCUCUGCUUCCAGGUUCACGUCUGGCAGAAGGCACUUCCUUGCUGCAGGGUUCUGAGGACUCUGGCUUCUUACUGUCUGUGUACCACUGCCCCUUCACGUCACCUACAGUUCUCCACGACUGUUUGCUUCUCUAAUCCACGACUGUUUGCUUCUAGAAUCUUUCUGAUCUUGGGAUCUUGAUCUGAGAAGACCUGGUCUCUCUUUGAAGAGCUUUAUUAUGAAUCAGGCUCGGACUCAGUCAAGAUAAUCUCCCUUUCUGUCAGCUCAAAUCCAAGCAGUUUGGGAUGCUGAUUACAUUUGUAAAACAGAGUCCUCUUCACUCAAUACUAGACACUAAUCAUGGUUUCUAGGAACUCUGAGGCGGGGCUGGGCUGAUGGGAGUGGUAUCCUGGAAGUAGUUGGUACUCACUGUCCGUGAAAUAAAAUCAAAGGAUGCUCAGGCCUCAAGUGCGAGGGUUCAGCGAGGAAGAGACAACAGGGAGGGGGGGAGUUCUGGGCCCAGGUGGACACUGUUUCCGAUCUCAUCUGACUCUCUUGGUGGGGGAUGUUUGGUCAUUUUACCCUUUAGAAGACUAACUGUGGAAUAAAUCCUAAUUUUAAUAGUGAUUUUAGCCUGCCUCAGAUUGCAUUCUCAGGAAAUGGGGUGAGGAGCUGAAGGAAGAGAUGAGGGCACAUACCUGAACUUGAGGGAAGUGGGUUUAAAGUAUUAGAACCAUCUGAAAGAAAUUGAGUGAGCUACAGAAACUGCCCAGCUCCUUUUUAAAAGGAGGGCAGGGUUCUCUUCCAAUCCAUCCAUAUUACAAGUUCUUUUAGUCUUGCUGUUGACUGACAUGGCUCUUUGUCUUGAACUGUAGAGUCCACUGGAAGGCUGCCCUCAGUGCGGAUCAUGGAGGUGCUCCCCCCAAUACCAGAACUUGAAGUCACUUCUGCAGUGCUCCAGCAAGAUCAAUAUACACAGCUAUCCUUGGACAGUCUGGACCAAAGACUUUGAAGAGUUUGG